AGAGUUGUAUCCUGGCUCAGGAUAAACGCUGGCGGCGUGCCUAACACAUGCAAGUCGAACGAAGCUCCCAAAAUUGAGUUUUCGGACAAGAGGAUGGGAUGACUUAGUGGCGGACGGGUGAGUAAUGCGUGAGCAACCUGCCUUUCAGAGGGGGACAACAGUUGGAAACGACUGCUAAUACCGCAUAAAGUAUUUUGAUGGCAUCAUCGAGAUACCAAAGAUUUUAUCGCUGAAAGAUGGGCUCACGUCUGAUUAGCUAGUUGGUGAGGUAACGGCUCACCAAGGCUUCGAUCAGUAGCCGGACUGAGAGGUCGAACGGCCACAUUGGGACUGAGAUACGGCCCAGACUCCUACGGGAGGCAGCAGUGGGGAAUAUUGGGCAAUGGGCGCAAGCCUGACCCAGCAACGCCGCGUGAAGGAAGAAGGCUUUCGGGUUGUAAACUUCUUUUGGCAGGGACGAAAACAAUGACGGUACCUGCAGAAUAAGCACCGGCUAACUACGUGCCAGCAGCCGCGGUAAUACGUAGGGUGCAAGCGUUAUCCGGAUUUACUGGGUGUAAAGGGCGC
rnacentral:rRNA from 1 species